UUAAGGAAAGCGGAGGCCGGGAAUGGAAAGUCCGGUGUAAGCGGGGUACCAGUCACUUUGGCAAAUCCGGGUGGCAAUGGGAAGCCGUGAUGCGGAGCGAAAUAAAGUAGUGAAGUCCGUGAGCCAUGCGUCAAGAAAAGCCGCUAUCGUUUAUACCGUACCCGUACCGUAAACCGACACAGGUGGAUGAGGAGAGAAUCCUAAGGCCGGCGGAAGAAGCAUUGUCAAGGAACUCGGCAAAAUGGCCCCGUAACUUAGGGAUAAGGGGUGCCUGGGAAACCAGGCCGCAGAGAAUAGGCUCAAGCAACUGUUUAGCAAAAACACAGGUCUAUGCGAAACCGAAAGGUGAGGUAUAUGGGCUGACGCCUGCCCGGUGCUGGAAGGUUAAGAGGAGAGGUUAGCGGUAACGCGAAGCUUUGAAUUUAAGCCCCAGUAAACGGCGGCCGUAACUAUAACGGUCCUAAGGUAGCGAAAUUCCUUGUCGGGUAAGUUCCGACCCGCACGAAAGGCGUAAUGAUUUGAGCACUGUCUCGACAAUGCAUCCGGUGAAAUUGAAGUACCAGUGAAGAUGCUGGUUACCUGCGCCAGGACGGAAAGACCCCAUGGAGCUUUACUCCAGUCUGGUACUGGGACUCGGUAUUGCAUGUACAGGAUAGGUGGGAGGCUAGGAGAUGGUAACGCCAGUUGCCAUGGAGCCGCUGUUGGGAUACCACCCUUGCAGUAUUGGGUUUCUAACCAGCCGCCGUGACCCGGCGGUGGGACAAUGCCAGACGGGGAGUUUGACUGGGGCGGUCGCCUCCGAAAGGGUAUCGGAGGCGCCCAAAGGUUCCCUCAGAAUGGACGGAAACCACUCGAAGAGUGCAAAGGCAGAAGGGAGCUUGACUGCGACACCGACGGGUGGAGCAGGUACGAAAGUAGGGCUUAGUGAUCCGGUGGUAUUAAGUGGGAAUGCCAUCGCUCAACGGAUAAAAGCUACCCUGGGAUAACAGGCUUAUCACUCCCAAGAGUUCACAUCGACGGAGUGGUUUGGCACCUCGAUGUCGGCUCAUCGCAUCCUGGGGCUGUAGUAGGUCCCAAGGGUUGGGCUGUUCGCCCAUUAAAGCGGUACGCGAGCUGGGUUCAGAACGUCGUGAGACAGUUCGGUCCCUAUCCGGCGUGGGCGUAGGAUAUCUGAGAGGAGCUGUCCUUAGUACGAGAGGACCGGGAUGGACGGGCCGCUGGUGCAUCGGUUAGACUGCCAAGUCUACGGCCGAGUAGCCAAGCCCGGAAGGGAUAAACGCUGAAGGCAUCUAAGCGUGAAGCCCCCCUUAAGAUGAGAUAUCCCAUUCGUUAAGAAGUAAACCCCCUUGAAGACGACGAGGUAGAUAGGGCAGAGGUGGAAGUGCAGCAAUGUAUGGAGCUGACUGUUACUAAUCGGGUGAGGGCUUGACCG
rnacentral:rRNA from 1 species